rnacentral:rRNA from 1 species
UUGAACGCUGGCGGCAGGCCUAACACAUGCAAGUCGAGCGGAUGAAGGGAGCUUGCUCCUGGAUUCAGCGGCGGACGGGUGAGUAAUGCCUAGGAAUCUUCCUGUUAGUGGGGGAUAACGUCCGUAAACGGGCGCUAAUACCGCAUACGUCCUGUGGGAGAAAGUGGGGGAUCUUCUGACCUCACGCUAUCUUUUGAUCCUAGGUCGGAUUAGCUAGUUGGUUGGGUAAAGUCCUACCAAGGCGACGAUCCGUAACUGGUCUGAGAGGAUGAUCAGUAACACUGGAACUGAGACACGGUCCAGACUCCUACGGGAGGCAGCAGUGGGGAAUAUUGGACAAUGGGCGAAAGCAUGAUCCAGCAAUGCCGCGUGUGUGAAGAAGGUCUUCGGAUUGUAAAGCAAUUUAAGUUGGGAGGAAGGGAAGUAAGUUAAUACCUUGCUGUUGUGACGUUAACAACAGAAUAAGCACCGGCUAACUACGUG